GCAAACUUGGUCAUUUAGAGGAAGUAAAAGUCGUAACAAGGUCUCCGUUGGUGAACCAGCGGAGGGAUCAUUACUGAGUUUACAACUCCCAAACCCACUGUGAACAUACCUUUUGUUGCUUCGGCGGGAUCGCCCUGGCGCCUCUGGGCCCGGACCAAGGCGCCCGCCGAAGGCCUCAAACUCUUGUUUUAGCUGUGUCAUUAUCUGAGUGGCUUAUAGCAAAAUAAUCAAAACUUUCAACAACGGAUCUCUUGGUUCUGGCAUCGAUGAAGAACGCAGC
rnacentral:misc_RNA from 1 species